rnacentral:misc_RNA from 1 species
AAAAAAAAAAAAAAAAAAUAGUCAGGAAACAACUCUUCCAGCAUUACCCUCUCCAUGUAUUAGAAAAGGGGCCCCUCAAACCUGAUGUGACUCAUCAACACAACAGCUGAAAUUUCUGUAGACCACUCUGACCCCCCAUGUAAUUCCAGAUUCCGGCCAUUCAACUUUGGCUUCAGCAUCAACAAACAGAUUGGAAAUUGAUUGUUUCCUACAUUUCAUAUAGGCAAAUGUUGAUAUGUGCAACAUCACAGCCCCAGAAAGUUGAAAAUGUGUUGCGUACUGGCAUUGCCACGCAUAGAGAGCAGAUUUGCUGCCUUCCAUCAUCUUUCUGAAUACAUGUGCUUUAAUCAUUGAAAAAUAUUCAUAUCCCACUGUCAUUUCGGGAACCUAGCCUGGUAGACAUCCAGAGGAACAUAUCCCACUGUCACAGUGCGGUUAUCAA